GAAACACUUGAUCUGUAUAAAGAUUUCAAGAAAUUAGAGUUGAAAAAGUAUAUUUUUCUAAACAAUAUAUUUAUGCUGUUAUUCUAAAUAGAAGUUUUUCAGUAACUACAUUAAAUAUUGGUUUUUAAUUUUAUUUAAGUUAAAGUACCUUAAAAUUUUAAUUUAAGAUUAGAAAUCUAAAAUUAAAAUUAAAAAUUUUUGUUCCUUAGUUGCUAGACACAUUUCAAUUGCUUGAUAUUUAAUAUAUGGCUAGAGGCUGUCAUAUUGAACAGUUAAAUUCUAGAGCUUUCUAGAAUAUAGAAUGAAAACCACUGGGUUAGUCAAAAUGCUUCUCAAGACUAUCAUUCAGGAGGCUACUGCCAUGAUCGCCAAGAAGCAUCCAGCUUAGUAUUUGGCAUCUGAGUAUACUGAUAAAAUCCUGCUCCUAGACCUACAAGGUGGAAUUUCAGACUACAGACCUACUUAAUUCAGUGAUACAAUAACAUUCUGAAGGAUCUGGGAAGCCAGCUUGCUAGGCAGAAUUUCCCUGGCAGCCCUCUCUUUCAACGUGUACUUUGCUUUCAAAAUGUCAACAUAACGUCACUCUGAGAUUUGCUCAUCUCACAGAUAGCAAAGUCAGCUUUUUAAAUUAAGCAGCCUAACCUGGAAGCCAUAAUAAGUAUGAAAUAGAUUAGGCAGGAGUUAUUCCCCAAAGUCUUGUCAAUCCACCAGCUUAAAGCAAUGCUGAUCACUGCUCUAAUACUUGCAGGUAGUUGCUGAGGAUAGUCAAAUAACUCCCAGAUGGACUGUUGAAAGGAGGAAGAACUACAUCAGUGAAAGCAUAAUCACAAAGUGAAUUAUAAUUUCAAGCAAUGUGGCUUAAUUGUGGGUAAUAGAGGGUAUAGUAAUAUGAGGUGAAGCAAUCAAACAAAAUUAAUGCAGUCUUAACUUAGGCUACUUGAGUUUCAGAACUGUGAAAAGUAACUCUUCAAGGAGUACUAAUUAUUGAAAAUGGUAGAAGUCUUUGUCAAGGAUGGCCUUCAACUGGAAUUUCAUCUGUCAAAAUUCUGAAUACUAGACAUGGACCCCUGAGGAAAGGAAUAGAUGGAAUUCAUUAUGUAACACUUCUCUCGCUUUGCUGUUCUUUCCUUUCUUUGUCCUUUCAUAACCCUAGAGGGUACAAAUGAACACAGCCAUGGUGCCUUACCUUAAAUUUGUUGUACUUGAGUCCACUCUACCCAGCAGUCUUCCCAUAAAGGAAAUUUGGUUUGACUGUGUUUUACAUAAGUUUAUUCCUAAUGUGAACAGAAGCUCUAUUCAGUAGAAUUAGGAACAGUACAGACCAAACACACAAAGAACCAGAAUGGAUUUCAAAAAAUCACGCUGGACGGUUUCUAUUUGAUUCAACUGCUCUGCUUUACUUAUAAUUUUCUCCUAGCCAAAUUGGACACAUAUAAAAUAUCAAGUUCAUAUACCACCUUACCACGUGAGUUAUUUUUUAAAUUACAGCAUUUAAUCAUUUCACCCACUUCUCAUAAAAAAAAAAAACAUAUUAAAGCCUCUCAGAAUCUUGAGCAUCAUAGCCAAGGUUCUUCACAGUAUGUUCCAAAUCUUUCUUUUCAUUUAUAUUUUCCACUGUAUUCUUUGUACCUAGGGGAUUAAAUUCAAAAUACAUCAGAGCCAUUAUGUUAAGUUCACUGACUGAUAAAUAUUAACACUAGAAAACUUGGUCUGAAGAGGGUUCCUUGAGGUGCUUGCUGUACCAGGCAGGUUUUUGUUUUCACUGUUAGAUAUUCCCAAUCCUGGAGAGAUAGUGAAACCUGAGGAAGCUUCCAGGGUGGACACAGCAAAGGGGCAUAUUUGAAGGACUAAGGGCUAUGAUUAUUUACCAAGGAUAGUCACAGCAUUUCAAUAUUUUAAUGCCCAGAAUGGCUAUAUCAGUGUGUACAAACUGAAUGUCAGUCCAAAUGCACACUGCAUUAUAAAUUUCAGGCUUCUAACUAUUCCUCAUGCACAGGAUCAAGCAAGUAAAUAUAUUUUGAGUCGAAUAAAAUUAAAAUAUUCUAUGAAUUUUUAUACCUUUGAAUGUUUGCUCAUAAGAUUUCUUUUAUAUUCCUCUAGUUUUUCAUUAUAUACCCUCAAUUCAUUUUUUGUGAAUUGGCUGCAACACUAGCUCUGCUCUUCCGCCUUCUCAGAACCUUAACGGUCAGAAUUAAUGGCUGCCUUCUCCUCAGGAAAAUAACAAUCAAUAUAUAUUCCUAACAGUGGCCACUAUAGGAGGACUUUAAUUAUGGUUGCUUCUAAACUUGUUUAGAAUAGGAAUUCAAAUUUCAUCACUUUGUAAAUCUGUAAUGAAAGCCAAAGGGAGUGCCUUUCCCUAUAUUGCUCAGUAAAUGCCAAAUAAAGAAAUUUAAGAAGGAGCCAUGAAUGCUGGAUGAGUAGUCAUAUGGAAAAGGGAUACUCAUUUGAGUGCUGUAAACACUCUUUUAUGUAUAUGAAGCCCAAAGAGUUUAUUCUCUUGGAAGAAGAUAAGCAGUUGUGAGCACAAAGGAGGCAAACAAGAACUAGAGCUGCUAUUUUAAGGCGAGUGCUAUAUGCUAGUACAAAACCCCAUUUUUACACUUUAAUGUUUCAAUCUCAUAUUACUUUAAUAAAUCACAGUGCUUCACUUUACUUUUAAUAGUGGAAUAAAUAUUAUAAUGACCUUUUUACUGGACAGGAAAAAAUAUAAUUUUUCCACAUUGCAACACUGAGUAUAUUUUUCUCAACUUUCUGCUGAAUAGGUCAUCCAAGGGCAAGAUAAAAUAACUUCUUGAUACCAAACUUUAUUAGUACAAUGAUGUCAGCUUGCAAGAAAAGUGUCAAGUCUCAUUAUUCUUUCUUUCUUUCUUUUUUUUUCUGACACAGUCUCGCUCUACUGCCACGCUGGAAUGCAGUGGGGUAAUCUCGGCUCACUGCAACCACCUCCUCCUUGAUUCAAGCGAUUCUCCUGCCUCACCCUCCAGAGUAGCUGGGACUAAAGGCCAGCAUGCCACCAGGCUCAGCUAACUUUUGAAUUUUUAGUAGAGAUGGGGUUUCACCAUGUUGGCCAGGUUGGUCUCGAUCUCUUGACCUCGUGAUCCGCCCACCUCGGUUUCCCAGAGUGUUGGGAUUACAGGUGUGAGCCACCACACCCGGCCUAUUCUUUCUUUUUAAGAUGACCUUCCUGUAACUCCCAUUUUCCUUUUAUAUUUUCUCAUAUAUUAUGUAUAAAGAUUCACUGAAUACCAUAAAAAUUAUUCCAAAGUUAGAGCAAAAUUGCUCUUUUAGCUGUAUAAACAGAACAUAGCAUGCUCACAUCCAUUACCGGCUUACUUUCCGACUCUCCUUCAAGAUAUUCACUGCAUUAAAAAUUAGAACUAACUUUUGAAUAAAGUCCAUAACAGGCAGUACAGUUUCUGUUCUAUCUUGUAUAUCCUCAGCUUAUUUAUUUGCCUCUGAGACAGAAUAGGGUAAUUUGUUAAAAAGUGCUCCAUCUUUUCUUUUUCAUCGGCUUUUCAUUUGUUUCCAAACUUGAGUUUCCUGACUCUGUGCUAUAAAUGUCUAAAGGAACUGUGAAUAAUGAAUCUCCUAUUGCUUUUUUCCAUUUUGUAAUUUUGACCUUUCAUUUCCAAGUAAACCCUUCUAAUAAGGACUAUUUUAAACUGCAUGUGGUUUCCAUCAGCACAGGUAUUAGAAAUGACUUACAGUGUUAGUUCUAUUAUAUAAACCACUGACUUUCCCUUAGGCUUGUGGUAAGUAGAUGACUAAGAAAUUUAUUUUCUUUAUCUUUGUCUCUCAUUUUCACCUCUGAUGUCUACCUACACCAAAUGAGAGAAGAAAUAAUGAUCCCUCAAAAAGUUUUCCAACAUCUCAUUCUAUUUUGUCAAUCCUUUUAUUUCAGUGCAGAGUUUUGUUAAUCAAAUCAUUGUGGAGACUUUUCUAAAGUUGGUACAUAUAUUUGCUUUCGUUUUUAAUUCUUAUUUUCACCAAGAGUCAGUGAAUUCAUGACUUGUUUGGUACAUUUUUGUAGCUCAUUUCACGUAUACUUUAUAUUUUCAAUGAUAUAAAUCAUUUUUUUUUCCUCUGGGGUGUAUACAAAAAAAGUGAGAAUGGUUGUGGGAGGGAGUAUCUUAUAAUAAUGGGUUUAUAUUUAGGGAGCAGUGGAGGAAAUAAAAGGCUUUUUUAUGUUUGACGCAAACUUUUUUCUGCAAGUUAAGCCUUUCUCCUUUUGUUUGUUAAGAUAAAAAUAAUUUACAUUAUUCUCUAAAGGCAUGUGCCAAUGUGGAACACAUUAAAAGUCUUACUGAAACACAUAUAUUUUCUUACAUAUUCCAUCUCCUAUACUUCCCAGGUACUUUAUCCUGAAAUGUGACACGAAAGUAAUAUAAAACAGAUUUAAAAAUUAUUUGUAACCAGUUAGUGCACUAAAACAAAUAAUUACUUUCUAAAUCUUGGUCUUGAGAUUUAUGAACCAGUAUAAAAUUAAUUGAUAUAGAUAUGGCUAUAAUUGCAGAUUACAAAUCUCAAAAAUUUACUAUUCCUGACUCUUCCUUAUAACCAAAUGUAAUGCAUUAUAAUCUUUGUUUUUAACCAAAAACCAGAAAUUUCAAAAAUUAUUCUUGCUUAAUUUUUUCAGUGGUUUAUAAUUCAAGUAAGGAAAAAAUAAUUGUUAUGACUAACACAAAUUCAUUCUGUUGCCGUUUAAGCUUUUGGUUUUUUGCUUGUUAUUGAGACACAGAAAAUCAUCAUCCUCUUGUAAGAUUCUAUUAGAUGCUUAGAGAAAAUAAAACUACUAUCUAAGCCUUUUGUUUGUUUUAUUGUUAUGGACAUGUUCAUAUUUUGACAGCAAUCCCCUGGACACGCUCUCACUCAUUUUCUGAUUUCAAACUUCCUGAAUGCAUACUGACUCAGGAAUAAAGUCAGAUUUUCUUUUCAGAAGAUUCGUGAGUGUUUUCUUUUGUUUCUUUCUUGUGUAUAUGUUUUUGUUUGUUUGUUUUUGUUUUUUUUUUUGGUUUUUAUUUUUUUGAGGUUUUACUAGCUGAAGACAUCUCAUCUCACUGAAUUGGUUUAUCAGUAAACAUAUUUUAGUUGUUUUUUCCCCUUUGUUCUCACCCAUCUUAACCCUUAUACCCUCUCCCCUUACAGCAAAUUAAGAAGACAUUUAGAGAAAUACCUUUUCUUUAUGUGAGCGAAGAAAAGGGAACAAAUUACAGAUAAUGUCAUAUCCUAAAAGCAGUUUUGGUCCAAUCAAGAUUUUUAGCUGCCAGGUAACAUUUAAGGCUCUCUACUUUCAGUAUUUAAAAACAAGGUAUAUCUGAUCAGGAUCCAGCCCAUGGAACAUAAACUAAUACUGAAAUUCAAUCUAAAAUAGACCUCGGUGUCUUAAAUCUCUGUACUAUUUUUAAAUUUGCCCAUGUUACUUAAUUUGUCUCAGAGACAAAAAAACUUUCUAUGAUUUGUCUUUGCACUAAAACUAAAAAAUAUAUAAUUUAUUCAUAAUAUUCAAUUUAUAGUGCAAGAAUACAAAAACACAGACUAUGCCUUUCAUUUAUGUGACACCAAACAGUUGCAUUUUUCAAGUUGACAAGGGAAAUUAACAUUUUUACCUGCUAUGUAAAAUGGAAGUGAUAAAGUCAAAAAGAUAACUUCCAUCACUAAAUAAUUUUGUUUAAAAUAUAAAUUGUCAUUAGUCUUUCAACAAAUUGGGAAAAACAAUAUGGAAUCCAUAUUGAGCCCUAUCUUUUGUUUUGGUAACAUCUAUAAUCUUUCAAGUAUUUCUUGCUGUUUUUUUACACACUAGUUCUUUUCUCAUUUGGCAGAGGACAAGUGUUAUAGAGCAAGGCACCUUUAUUCUGUCACUAUAGAGAAUGUGUUAGUAAGUGAAUGACUGCAAUGUAAUAUAAUUCUUCUCCUCAAUGAAUAAAACAAAUAAUGUAUAUAAAUAUCUGUCAACUGCAAAGUUUAUUUAACCAACAAAUAUUUAUUAAGGGUUCGUUAUCUAGCAAGCCGUGUGUGUUGCUGCAAGUACAAUCUACAAGAAACACUUAGGUUAGAAAUAUGACUAUUGCAUGGGAUAUUUUGGCAUGAGAGAAUAUUUUAAUACCUUUUAAAUAUAUUAUAAUUGUUAAUGCUUCAUUAUGCAAAAUCGAUGUAAAACACAAAUCUGUAUAAUUUGUAACUAAAAGAAAAGUUUUUUCUUAUUAUAUCGCAACUAAGUAUCACAGAAUUUUAGGCUAAAAGAGGCCUAGAUGCUACUAGCUCUUAUGACCUAACACAGUAAAAUACCGUAUAGAAAAGGUAAACACUACACAACUAAUUAUUAAAAGAAUUGGAGCACAAUCUCAGAUCUCUUGAUUCUCAACCCAAUUCUCUUUCAAAAAUAAGAAACACAAUGCUUUUUUGUAAGCUAUUUUAUGAUACUACAUAUUAUUUCCUGACAACAAUUUAAAUUAUUUACUGAGAAUUUCUUUUACAUAACUCUCAAAAGUGUAAAAUUAUUUUAUCACCAUUACCUUGGGGACAACAAACAUCAAAAUUUGUGCUAAAAUGAAACUUUGAGUUGAGUUCAAUGAAUAUAUUGUGUGUUUUUAAGACAUACUAUCUUUACUAAUUUCAAUAAAUUCAAAUUUUACACAAACCUGAAGUGUAAAUAUACACUUCUGAUAUUAAUGUAGAAGUUUUCAAUAUGAUUUACAAGAUAAAGAAUACAUGAGAUGCCCUUUUCAUCACUCACUUAUUUCUCAACUAUGUUGAUAAAAGGUUUAGGUGUUAUUCUAUUUUAUAAGCUAAGAGACAAUUAGUCAUAUUUCCUAUUUAGUACAAAAGGAAGAGCACUGACCUUACCUCUGCCAUGUUCACAUUGUAUGGUCCAGUUGAGAAUCCUGCCUGAGAGUUGGCUGUGUAAACACAGAGCAGCAGAGAAGAGUCACCACACUCCAUCAUAUGAGAAGGCACGUGUCUGCUGGCUGCCUCCCAUUUUUCCCUAUUUGGGAACAGUCCUCUGUGCUGAGUGGUCUUCCUGCCAUAUGGGUCAAUAAAGUAUUUUC
rnacentral:lncRNA from 10 species